AUUACUAUACCAAAAGAAGGGAGAGUUGGAUCCCUGAACAAAAACACAUUCACUACGUUACAAAAAUUAACAGGGAACCAGCAGAUGAAGGAUUUCACAAAGCACAUAAAUCCUUCCAGAAACCAAAACAGAGCAGAUUACCAAUUUGUACAUAUACAAAGAUUCCAGUGAAGUCAACAAGCAAAGACAUUCAAUGGAAAGCAGAUAGAAGCAGGCAAAAAAGGAAAUCAGUUAGCAGCAUGGAAGAGCCAAAGUAAAUCACUAGACCUGAUUACACCAUCUUUUGCCGGUAAAUCAGGUUCGCCAUUAGCAGAACGUGGACUUUGCAUGCAUUAAUUACCAAGACUCCAUCUGCUGUGCAGAUCCAACAUCAAGGCUCCACAGUAAAUCAAUAAUCCUGAGAACGCCCUCUUUAGCCAAUGCAUCUGCUUCGUUAUUCGCUGAUCGCAAGGUGUGCUUGAUGUCCCACUUUUUAAUUUUGCCGAGAAUAUUGAAGAGUUUGAGCAAUCAGCUGUCUCAAUCUCCAUGGCACCUUGUUAAGGUAACUGAUCCAAGUAACAACAUUUUUGUUAUCAGAUUCAAUAAGAAGGGGAUUAGAGGUACACCACCUAGACGCAGCGUAAAUGAGAGCAGCCUCCGUAACAGCCAUCAGCUCAGUCUUAUUUGAAUCGCACACCCCAAUAGAUUUUGAGAAGAGAAUAAGGACAUCCCCGUGCCCAUUGAGCAAGAUGCCUCCAAUUCCCGAGUCACCUGGGCAACCUCGCCAGGCUUUAUCUGUGUUAAAGUUGAGACUCCCCGCCCGUGGUUUGGACCAAGAUAUUGUAUUUGAGGUUUGCUUACAUCUAGCAGGAGUAGUUCCAGCGUUCGGAGAUCUAGUCAAGUCACCUAUGGAGAUAUUGUGAUCAAGCCAUUUGGCAUUAGCCCACCACGCAACUUGCAGCUUUGUUAACUCAAAAUCCUGCUAAUCAUCCCAUAUUUUACCUUGAAAAAUUACUUCAUUUCUAGUGGUCCAGAUGGCCCAUAAGAUUGCAUACCAAGCCAUUGAUCAAAUUAGCCCAUUAUUAAGAGAGCUAGCCACGUCCAGUCAUGAAAGAAAGCAGAUCCGGGGGUCAUUAUGAUACAUCAAAUGAACAUUCCAAAGGGCACCCCUCCGUAGCCAUAAGAGCCAAGACUUGCCACAAUUGAAAAACAGGUGACUCACUGUUUCGAUUUCACCUCGGCAGAGAAGGCACGUCGCUGUAUCCACUCCGAUAAUACCACGCCGGGCAAGGACGUCUUUCACAGCCAAUCGCCCAUGCAAAAUUUGCC
rnacentral:lncRNA from 1 species